rnacentral:lncRNA from 1 species
ACCUUCACCCACCACACAUAGAUAACACUUUCUCUGACCUUUAUCCUUCCGAAACCUACGCUUACUCUCACGCCGGAGGCGCUUUGGGGCAAAACCCCCCCGCCGGCGUUGUUUUGUAGGCUCCCAUCCAGCAGCUGCACCACGGAACCACCAGUCACGGCGGAGGAAGGACCGGGAUCGGAGUUUGGAGUUAUCAUUUGGCGCUAGAAGGAGGGGAAGGUGUCCUCUGUCCUGUGGUCACGGUGCCACUGGACUCAUCUCCUUCAACAAACCCCCGAAACGGGGGUCCAAACACACCAGUAAGCUUUCAUAAAACACCCAGCUCCUUGAAACCUUCAAUCAUGAUUUUUCUUGAUGUGUGCAUG